GGUCAUACCAGGACCCAGAGAAUAUACUUUUAUGAAUGAGAAGUUCAUAAUUGACCUUUUGAGACAAAAUGACCCACGCUUUUUUUUUUUUUUUUUUUUUUUUUUUUUGGUACUGGGCAUCAAAUUCAGGACCUUACACUUGCCAGGCAGGCGUUGUGACGUGGAGCUACAUCCCUGGCUGAACCUACUCAACUUGAGACAAUAUUUGCAAAACCCUGAUGACCUUGUUUAAAGAUGAAAAGGGAUAUUGGAAUGUGUUCUGGAAGGUUGCUAGCGAUUUGUAUGAUGGCAGAAAAGGUAAA
rnacentral:lncRNA from 1 species